rnacentral:lncRNA from 1 species
GUUUUUUGUGCAUUAAAUAUCCCCCUGCAGUGCUGGCAGCCAUAAUAUGGCAGCUCUGACAACACGAAAGUGAAACUCAUUCCAGUAACCUGAAACUGAUGCUAGUGACUUUCCAUUAGCCAAGCUGAGAGAAACAAUCAAAAAAGGUAAGUAAAUCAGAUGUUUAAAUUUCUUUCUAUGUUAAUAGUCAGCAUCCUUAGGGAUAAAGCCCAAGACCUUCACUUGCAAUGUAUUUUUUGGUAGUGUAUUGCUAAUAGAGCCCUGAAUGAUACAGAAGGAAUGAGUUAUGACUGAUAGAGCCAAUACCACAGUUUUUGGCAAGACUGAUGUCUGUUACCUUAUGGUUCGAACAUCUCAAGAGACUUGCCAUUAUUUGCCAGGAAAAGACAGUGCAGUGGAGACAAGCCGCCCCUCAAGGGAAGUGGUGUAACUGCUGUGCUCCCAUGCCCUGCGCUACAAAGCCCGGGUGGACCUCCCAAGCCUCCUCGGACUCAGAGGAGCCCUCGUUGUUCCGACG